rnacentral:rRNA from 1 species
AUGAACGCUGGCGGUGUGCCUAAGGCAUGCAAGUCGUACGAUAAGCCUCACUUCGGUGAGGUGGACAGUGGCAGACGGGUGAGUAAUGCGUAGGAAUCUACCCUGAAGAGGGGAAUAGCCUGACGAAAGUCGGAGUAAUACCCCAUAGUCCCUAUCAGCGAGAGCUGUGUGGGUAAAGAUUUAUCACUUCAGGAGGAGCCUACGUCCUAUCAGGUAGUUGGUAGAGUAAUAGCCUACCAAGCCAAUAACGGGUAGCCGGUGUGAGAGCACGACCGGCCACAAGGUUACUGAAACACGGAGCCUACACCUACGGGUGGCAGCAACCAGGAAUUUUGCGCAAUGGACGAAAGUCUGACGCAGCGACACCGCGUGUGGGAUGACGCUCCUCGGAGUGUAAACCACUGUGGCGAGGGAGGAAAUCCGCCUUAUGGCGGCCUGACAGUACCUCGCUAGAAAGCACCAGCUAACUACGUGCCAGAAGCUUCGGUAAUACGUAGGGUGCAAGCGUUAUCCGGAUUUACUGGGCGUAAAGGGUCCGUAGGCGGCCUAUUAAGUUUCUUGUCCAAGCCCGAGGCUCAACUUCGGAGAGGCAAGAAAUACUAUUAGGAUUGAGUUAGUUCGGGGAAGCUGGAAUUCUCGGUGGAGGGGUGAAAUCCGUAGAUCUCGAGAGGAACGCCAAGCGCGAAGGCAAGCUUCUAGGACUCAACUGACGCUAAGGGACGAAAGCUUGGGUAGCAAAAGGGAUUAGAGACCCCUGUAGUCCAAGCCGUAAACUAUCCUUGCUAGUUGUUCCUGGUUUCGACCGGGGGUGACGUAGUUAACGCGAUAAGCAAGGCGCCUGGGGAGUACAACCGCAAGGUUUAAACUCAAAGGAAUUGGCGGGGGAGCGAACAACCGGUGGAGCAUGUGGUUUAAUUCGAUACAAAGCGAAAAACGUUACCUGGGUUUGACAUCUAGCUGCAACGCCUGAGAAAUCAGGAAGCCUUCGAGGGUGCUAGACAGGUGAUGCAUGGCUGUCGUCAGCUCGUGUUGUGAAACGUCCGCUUAAGUGCGGUAACGAGCGAAACCCUUAUUGUAUGUUACACGUAUCAUACAAAACCGCCCCGCCUCAGCGGGGAGGAAGGAGAGGACGACGUCAAGUCAGCAUGUCCCUUACAUCCAGGGCUACACACAUCCUACAAUGGAAAAGACAACGAGUAGCGACGGAGCGAUCCUGAGCCAAUCUUAACAAACUUUUCCCCAGUUCGAAUUGAAGGCUGCAACUCGCCUUCAUGAAGCCGGAAUCGGUAGUAAUCGCGAAUCAUCAGGUCGCGGUGAAUACGUUCUCGCUCCUUGCACACACUGCCCGCCAAGCCAGCAAAGUCAGCAGCGCCCGAAGCGGUUGACC